rnacentral:rRNA from 1 species
AGAAUCAACGCUGGCGGCGUGCCUAACACAUGCAAGUCGAACGAGAAAGGGGUAGCAAUACCCUGAGUAAAGUGGCGCACGGGUGAGUAACACGUGACUAACCUACCCUUGAGUGGGGGAUAACUGAGGGAAACCUUAGCUAAUACCGCAUAAUACCCACGGGUCAAAGGAGCAAUUUCGCUCGAGGAGGGGUCGCGGCCGAUUAGUUAGUUGGCGGGGUAAUGGCCCACCAAGACUGUGAUCGGUAU